UACGAAGGGGGCAAGCGUUGUCCGGAAUCAUUGGGCGUAAAGCGCGUGUAGGCGGCUCAGUAAGUCCGCUCUGAAAGCCCGGGGCUUAACCCCGGGAGGCGGGUGGAUACUGCUGAGCUUGAGUCCGGAAGAGGCGAGUGGAAUUCCCGGUGUAGCGGUGAAAUGCGCAGAUAUCGGGAGGAACACCAAUGGCGAAGGCAGCUCGCUGGGACGGUACUGACGCUGAGACGCGAAAGCGUGGGGAGCGAACAGG
rnacentral:rRNA from 1 species